UCAAAUUGAAAAUAAAGCAAAAAUCCACAUAAUAAGUUAUUAACCGUGUUCGAUUUAAAUUCGAUUCACUUGAAAUCAAUUUUGGUUUGUUACAAGUUUUUAAAUGGCUUUACAGGUUUAAAAAUGGAAGACAAUCAACAGAACAUGGGAAGAUAUCAGGUCGACCGCGUUCAAGUCGAAAGGAUGGAAAUGUUGAGCGCGAACAAACAUCGGUGAAACCAAAUUAUCAUGUCACAAUAAAAAUGAUAGCAAAGCUGAUUUUCCACUAAAGAAUGAUACUCGCUACAGGUUUCGUCACCGAAUCAAUUCUAAUAAAAGUCGACGGUCUCAUACCCAAUAUAUAUUGAAAAAGUUGUGGCGUAUCAACAUAAGCCAUGAUUACAUACAUCUAUUAUAAAGAACAGAUAGUGUUCCACCAAAAGUACAGCAAGUAAAAAGAUAUCCCAAAUCGGUUUAAUACCAAAUAGUCUGGAGUGGAAGUGAGACAGGUUUUGAAGGAAUGAGUUGACAUUGUCAAGCGCUUAUAUUGCCGGAAGAUUUGCCCGAAAAGUGUGCUCUACAGUUUGCUGAGCAGUUAUCAAACAUAAAAUCAUAACAAUUUGCUGAGUUUGAAUGAUAUUGUUAAUUUGCAACAGAUUAGUUGAUAUAAGAAAAUGUUAUCACACACACACUGGCAUAUACACAAAAUGUUUUGAGCAAAUUAAAUG